AAAAAGAGACGCUGUUAAACGCCUGUUUUCAAAGAUAUUUGUUACAACGUCCUUUUUUUACAAUUGUGGAAAAUUGGAAGCAUCCUCCACGUUCAAGGAGAAGAAUGACUAAUUACAGAGUUGCACUGAAACUCAGAAGACGAAGCCAUCCACUGGGUCUUGAAACCAGGAGGAGGAGCUAUGUGUCGAUCAGCAAGUGGAGAAAACAAGAAAUGAUGCCCUGUUUUUCUUCCCACACUCCUCCCUCCCUCCCUCCCUCCCCUUCCUUCCUUCCUUUUUCCUCUUUUCCUCUUUCCUUCCUUUAUUUCUUCCUUUCUCCUCACAUUCAAUAAAUACUUACUCACUGCUUCCA